CCAGCGGGCUUGUUUACAUUGGCGCUCGCUCAGUGCGAUGGACUACAAGUCUCCGGUAGGAUCCCGAAACGUUGCCUAUCCAUCACCUCCACAGAUGCUGCCUGGCCCGGCCUGAUUAAGGUGCACUUUUCAAUAUUAUUGCCUAUUAUCAAAUGCUUUUUCAGUGCCCUAAAUACAGAAAUAUCGGGAUGGGCACUGCCAAAUAAAAGAAAAUGGGCGGCUGGUAGAGCUGCUGCCUCUCACCAUCGAAGGGCCGAAUGGCCUUCUGCACCUAUUUUCUAUGUUUCUACGCCCGGGUUUCAACCCUUGGCUCAAAUCCUGUGUGGAAUUUGCUUUGCUCUUUCAUCUUUGGUUUGUAGUACUUUGUUUCUCCACCUCCCGUUUAAAUUCCAUUUGGAAUAUUUUGGACGACCAAGAAACCAAGAAGACUCGCUUAUCAGACUUUGUCUUACCCCCAUUUCUCUUCCAGCUUUCUUGGUCGCUACAACAAAAAAUCUGAAGGGUCCUGGCCCAAGUUAACUCCUGAAUGAAACUAUCUAAUUGUUUUGCAGAGAUGAAAACAAGUGGAGACAAUUUCCUGAUUCUUUCUGCUUAUAAUUAAAAUUUGCUCAUAGGGUGAUUUCACAAAAGGUCACUGGAUCAUAGACCCUCACCCACGUGACCGUAAAAUCCAACUGGGGUACAUGUGUCACUUCUGGUACAUGUUAUUGAUGCUGAAUACGCGCACUUUCACACCCGUUAAAAACCGCAAAAACGGCCCGUUUUUGAGCUGUAAAUAACUGCCAGUCGGGGUGACCGUGAGCCACAGUUAUCUUACUUUACAGUCCAGAAGAUAGAUAAAAACAAAGGUAAAUACAAGAGGGAGCUGAAGGGGCAACAACAGCGGAAGUGGUUAGCGGACAUUCACCGUGGAGAUAUAAAGAUCGAAAAUAUCGGGAAUUAUCGUGUUUGCUCGCUGCAUUUCAUCAAAAGUCAGUUUUGGUGUGAAAAACUAUUCUAUGAAAUGUAUAUUGAGAAAGACCUUACCAACCCCAUGCUUGCUGAGACAUCAAGGACUAAGCAAACAACACGGUGCUUGGCCUGAAGAAACGUGAACGUUGGGAUGACGGAUCCAGUGUGGGGUUCAUGGAGUGAUACAGUGUGGAAACAGGUCCUUGGGCUCAACUCGCCCACACCGGCCAACAAUGUCCCAGCUACACUAGACUGAACCAUCUCACAACCACGCAUCAGGCCUAUCUGAAGGAGAGUUUGCAGUUCCCAAAUUGAGCAUCUCAGCCGCCAGCUAACCUAAAUGGAAGAAAGUCACUGUUGAUCUCAAGACACUGCCAAAGGAGAAGACUAUGCUACCAUUGCUCUUUUUGGUCCAAGGUAUGUCAUUGAUCCCAGUUGCAUUCAGUGACCUUUUGUGUAUAAUUAUUUCGUGUAGGAAGGAAUUUUGUCCUAUUUUUCCUUGUAUUUGGCUUACUCAGAUGGACACAGACACAAAAUAAAACAGCCCGUAGAUUUUUCUUUUUC